rnacentral:rRNA from 1 species
AUUGAACGCUGGCGGCAUGCCUUACACAUGCAAGUCGAACGGUAACGCGGGGCAACCUGGCGACGAGUGGCGAACGGGUGAGUAAUGCAUCGGAACGUGCCCGGUAGUGGGGGAUAACUGCUCGAAAGAGCAGCUAAUACCGCAUACGACCUGAGGGCGAAAGGGGGGGAUCGCAAGACCUCUCGCUAUCGGAGCGGCCGAUGUCGGGUUAGCGAGUUGGUGGGGUAAAGGCCUACCAAGGCGACGAUCCGUAGCUGGUCUGAGAGGACGACCAGCCACACUGGGACUGAGACACGGCCCAGACUCCUACGGGAGGCAGCAGUGGGGAAUUUUGGACAAUGGACGCAAGUCUGAUCCAGCCAUGCCGCGUGCGGGAAGAAGGCCUUCGGGUUGUAAACCGCUUUUGUCAGGGAAGAAAUCUUCUGAGUUAAUACCUCGGGAGGAUGACGGUACCUGAAGAAUAAGCACCGGCUAACUACGUGCCAGCAGCCGCAGUAACAC